AAUAGAUACCCGGGUAGUCCACGCCGUAAACGAUGAGUGCUAAGUGUUGGGGGGUUUCCGCCCCUCAGUGCUGCAGCUAACGCAUUAAGCACUCCGCCUGGGGAGUACGGUCGCAAGACUGAAACUCAAAGGAAUUGACGGGGGCCCGCACAAGCGGUGGAGCAUGUGGUUUAAUUCGAAGCAACGCGAAGAACCUUACCAGGUCUUGACAUCCCGGUGACCACUAUGGAGACAUAGUUUCCCCUUCGGGGGCAACGGUGACAGGUGGUGCAUGGUUGUCGUCAGCUCGUGUCGUGAGAUGUUGGGUUAAGUCCCGCAACGAGCGCAACCCUUAUUCUUAGUUGCCAUCAUUCAGUUGGGCACUCUAAGGAGACUGCCGGUGAUAAACCGGAGGAAGGUGGGGAUGACGUCAAAUCAUCAUGCCCCUUAUGACCUGGGCUACACACGUGCUACAAUGGACGGUACAAACGGUUGCCAACCCGCGAGGGGGAGCUAAUCCGAUAAAACCGUUCUCAGUUCGGAUUGUAGGCUGCAACUCG
rnacentral:rRNA from 1 species